CCAGCUUCCUUCCCAGGGAAAAGUCUUCCAAGCUCAAUCCUCACCCCUGUUUCAAUGACAGACAAGGUCUGGUGUUCUAGGAGGGAGGCAAUUGAAGUGGUUGAGACAUUUGAACGAGAUGGAGGAGGAAGGGGAGAAGUUGUAGUGGAGAUUUGUUGCGGAGAGGAAGGUGGAGUAGCAGUGGAAGUGGGAGUGACAGCAGUGUCAAGUCUGUUGAAGAACAGGUUGAGUUCAUUAGCUCUUUCCAAAUCACCCACCACUGGCUGUCUUUUCUUUUUAUUGCUGUGUCCAGAGAUGGUACUGAUUUCUUUCCAAACCUCACGGAUGUUGCUGUGUUGUAAAUUCCUCUUUAUCUUCUUUUUGUAUUCUCAAUUUCUGUUGCACUUGUUUGAGUCGUUCUUUGUCACCACCUUUAAAAGCUUUCUUUUUCUGGUUAAGGAUGCUCGGGCAGACAGGAGGCUCCGCACCAAGGUGUAGAGCUCUCUGGUUCUACUCCUUCUCAUAUUUGAUUUCAGAACAGAAAUGGUUAACUUCUCUCAUAGGUAUGCGUCACAUCUGAGUAAAAUUUGAAAUGAUGUGCUUUAUUUUUGCUGAUGGUGAGGAGACAUGACUGGGCACUGAGAUCUGAGGUGAGGAAGACGCUACCUUUGGGGGCCACGUUGACCGGGAGGCAUCCCGGCCCAUUGCUGCUGCAGGGGGCGCCGUCACAGGGACCACCAGCCCGGGCAGACAGGAGGCUCCGCACCAAGGUGUAGAGCUCUCUGGUUCUACUCCUUCUCAUAUUUGAUUUCAGAACAGAAAUGGUUAACUUCUCUCAUAGGUAUGCGUCACAUCUGAGUAAAAUUUGAAAUGAUGUGCUUUAUUUUUGUACAUUUCAAAAUGUUUACGUUUUUGGCUGGUUGUGAAACAUACUAAAAUUGACAUUGAUGUGUUUCUCUGACCUGAAAGAAACACACAAGAACAUCAAAAAGGAGAGAAACUAUUUUACACAGUUGUUUCAAUGUUUAGAAUUUAUAGCAGCAAGUACUGGUCAGGCCAGUUGGUUGUAUAAACCCUGCGAUUAAAGGCUUUCUCACACAAUUCACACCCAGAUUAAAGAUCACUUUGUCCACAGGGGGUGCCAAAAUCAUCGCCUGAGUUCCUCACAGGACCAUUAAUACUCAGUCUUAUUAGAGUGACAAAAAUACAGUACGGCCUCCUUAAAGGUUAACAUCCACAUACCUGUGCUGGUUACGCAGUCCUUUUUUCCUGAUUUCAGAUCCUAAUGAGUCUCAACUUAUGAAGCAGCUACUGUUCCUGAGGUCCACAUUCACCGAACACAACAUACGAACGUAUUAAACAGUAAAUUCACAAAUCUUCGUUACUUCAUGUAUUCAGGUUUAGCUAAAAGUUUGUGUUCAACAUUUAUAAAGUGAACUAUGACUUUCAUAUUGAAAAUGCUUUCUACAGCACCUUGAAGUUGUGACCAAAUAUGCUGAAUAUGUGUCUGUGGUUUUAUUGCAUUACCUGCAUCUUAACCUCUGAUUGGCCCACUCAGUGACAUGUGAUCAAGUAACAAGGAAGUGUUGGUUUUACUGCGAUGAAACGUGUCCUAAGUGCAUCAAAGACAGUUAUGCUUCUCCAUCCCGUUGUGUCUUCACUUUAGUUCAUUUAUGUCAGGUUGCUGGUUAAGUGUUUCUAUAAUAGCUCUCUUUGGUGCUUCAGACACACCGGAAACAGCUGACAUACAACCUUAUUUCUAUUUUCUAGAUCAAAAUACUGACAAACCACACCGAGAUGUCACCUGUGCUUGUUUAUAUCCAGGUAGUAAAGCAUUAGAGCAUUAUAGAGAUAACAUCAAUUAGAGCUCCUGCUGCAAUUAGUGAUCGGUGGCUGCAUGACAGCUAAGACACAACAUGUCAGAAAUAUUAAUUAUUUAAUAAUAAUUAUUUAAUGAUAAUACUAAUAAUACUACUACUACUACUACUACUAAUAAUAAUAAUAAUAAUAGUUUAAUCAAAAAGUACUCGUUGUGCCAACUAAGGAGGUUGUUGGACACAUGCACACAUCCUCAGAUUAACAAUAUGAGGUUGUAUAAAAAGGUGAAGUUACACUGGACUCAGGCCUUGAAGCUUGUGAGCCAAGUAAACAGCGAACAAGCUGGUUAAGCAUUUCCAUCACAGCAGCUGCUUCACUGCAGACAACACAACAUCAUGUGAUCUUUUUGGUAUCUGGGCUGGUUUAGUUCAAACUGCAUUAAAAGGAACUUAUAAAUUAAUAGUUCCUUUUUUUUGUUAACAUCAAACCCGCCCACAUGUGCAGAAAGAUAGGGGUAGGUGCAUAAAAAACAGCAAGAUGCAGCAUAUUCAAUUCGUAAUGUGCUUUUUAAAACACUCUUUUUUUUUUAAUUGUAAAGUGAUGCUGUUGAUAUAUAGUGAACUUCUUUUGCAAGACACAGUUUGUUUCUGUGUGUGUGUGUGUGUGUGUGUGUGUGUGUGUGUGUGUGUGUGUGUAUUUGGUGCUGGCAGGGAGCAGACGGAGGUGAGGCCCAGUGAGCUGUUGCUCCAUAUUGUGACAUUUCAGAGGUGGCCGUGUGCUUCACCCCCACUUCUCCUAACACCACCUGCUAAUCCAUCUGCAGGAUUACUGUCCACUGUAAUCACUUAUCCUCAGCACUGACACACCUCAUCUCACUCUCCUGACUCAGUGCACACACACACACACACACACACACACACACACACACACACACACACACACACACACACACACACACACACACACACACACACAAACAGUUUAGAUGACCACCGAUCUGUAACUGGGUUGUGGUGAACUGUUUAUGUUUGAUCAUAGCUGCUGUGUUUACAGAGGAAGUGUUUGAUUUAGGGUCCACGAUGACCAGAAGAGAGAAGGUGACAAACCAGGACUAAUUUCUGGACAUAAUAAUCAGUUUUUACUUUGCAAUUUGAAAUUAUUCUCACAGUGGGAGGGGGGGAAUCCAAAAGCUGUCAAGGUCCGAGUUUCAAAGAAGAUCAAAGUUUGAGGAAAUAAUUAUAAUUUUAAUGCCUCCAUUGAUUAGCAACAUAAAAUGUAAAGUGAAAUAAACUGGCUCAUGUGUGUAAAUUAAACACCCAUAAAUCGGUGUGCAGAAAUAGCACAGAUUCAUCAAUGCUUCAGUGAGCAGAACAAAGGGAAGAAACAAUUUUAUCUUAAUUUCUAUACUUAGAUCAGACUAUAACGUCUUUUUUUAGGAGGCCUUACUUCUAACUGGACCUGAACAGGUCAGCUGAUCGCAGAUACAGCCUCUGAUUGGUCAACUGCCCAAACUAGAGGUGGCAGUCUCUUUCUAGCAUAGUGAGUUGAGAAACAGAAGUAUCAUUAUUUCACUAAAAUCAAACCUGAAUCAUCACAGAUGAUCUUUGUUUUUGAAGGAUCAAUUGUGAAAAGCUUUUGAAAAUACACUAAUCUUGUCUGUGAGACACAGCGAUAGACUCACAGAGUCCACAAAAAGUACUGUAUGUCACCACAGUCAGGGGCUGUGUCCACUGGGGCCUAAUUUUGAACUGGCAGCACCCACAACCUCAAUUUCAGAGCUAUACUCACUGUUGCGAAGCUACGAGAGUCAUCCCACAGCACAUGUGCUUACCUUGGCAUUGACCAUCAGUUUUACAGCACUCUGUAUGCCGCAUGUUUGCUUUAGUUCAAAACCUUUUUACAAAGAAAAACUAUCAGUGAUUGAUAGAAAUCAUGUCAUUGGUACCUACCUAUUAGAAGUUCUGUCACUUCUUGAUUCUGUUUGGUCAGUGGUCAAGAAGCGACGCUGAUGAGUGUAGUAGGGUUCCAUAAACUGAAUUAUUUACAAUGAAAAGCGCAGCAACAAAAUAGUAUCUUUGCUCAGAGGGUCCUUGGGAUUUGGUUUGAAUAGAAAAAGAUGCUGCCAGCACCGAAAACAGCGCCAGUCGACACAGCUCCUUAACCCCUCUGUUUUUGGAGCUGAUAGUAUAGACUCAUUGAUAUUCUGUUGUAUACCACAGUUUUGACUCUAGACAGUUUAAACACCAAACAUAAGACAAUUUCUGAGUUUAUUUGGAACGGCAAAAGUGCCACAAUAUCAGUGUUGGACUAGAGUGAUGUUUUGUACGUACAUUCUUUGUCUCAGAACCUACAUGCUCUAGACAUAGUAAACCAUGAAGCUCUUAGGAAAAUGGUGUUGCAAAAAGACUUGGAACUCAUCAUUCAUGCCUUUGUGUCAUCACGUUUGGACUACUGUAAUAGUUUGUUUUCAUGUCUGAACAAAAAGGAGCUGUCUCGUCUUCAGUUAGUGCAAAACUCUGCAGCAAGAAUUCUAACCCGCGCUAAUAGGAGGACUCACAUAUCCCCUAUUCUUGAAGCUCUACACUGGCUGCCUGUGUCCUCAAAGAUCAAUUUUAAAAUUCUGGUCCUAACUACUGAUGGUUCCGCGCACUUGUUUUCGGACCAGAGGAGACCGAUCCUUCCAGGCUGUUGCCCCCAGGCUUUGGAAUGAUCUUCCUCUCUCUCUGUGUGCUUAAUUGAUUCUGUUGACUCUUUUAAAAACCAACUCAAAACUUAUUUGCUCAGGCAUUUGUUUAAUUGUUUUGGGGGCUACUAUGUCUGUUUAACUGUUGUUGUCUUGGCCUUUUAAUUUGUAUGUACAUCUUUUUAUUUUUGUCUAUGUGAAGCACUUUGUGACUCUUUUGUCUGUGAAAAUUGCUAUACAAAUAAAGUUUACUUACUUACUUACUUACUUAGAGGUAGAGUCAUCAUAGCUGGGCUGCAGCAGGAACAGACAUUUAUGUUUUGUACCUUAAACAAAACAUUUUGUGACCCUGCAAGUAAAAAGAAAAACUGUUACAAGCUCUCAGCUUUCCUGGGACAAUGAAGCAGACUAGCAGCCAGACAAUACUCCUCUUUCCUCCUUUAGAUUCACUUUAACAGCUAGAUGAUUGAAUUUCACUGACAUCUAGUGGACAAAGAUGAACUGCCAUAAAACUGAGUGGUUGUAGAUAUAUUUGGAUGCGUUAGCAGGGAGGAUGACCUCAUAAUCUUUUGUAAAGUGGGCCUGGGCUUUAGUGGGUCUAUGAUAAAUUCAACAUUAAAGAUACAGUGUUGGCACUGAUUGAAAUCAAUUAUUCAGCUCUUAUAGUCAGUAGGUAUUGUUUUUAAACCAUCUUAAACAGAAUGGUCUUAAUUUGAACAAACAAGACUGGGUCAGCAUCUGAACCUGAAUCUAAAGAGCUUGAAUAAGAGCGUAAAUUCAACCCCAACUAAAAGUAAAUCAUUUUACAUGCAAUUGCAGAAUCAUCUUUAAAGAUGCAGUGGGUAGAAAUUGGGACGUGUACCUACAUGGAGGGGUCAAACUCUGAAUUGAGAUGCUCCUUUGCUCACCCCUCCUGUUGUUAGUUUUCACCAUCAAAAAUGUCUUUCAGUACAAAUUCUUUUGUGCGCUCUCUUCUUCUUUAUCUUCAUCUUCUAAUCAACAUGCUUUGUAGGGGAUUAGAUAUUGACAAAAUACAACAUUUUAAAUGUUAUAAGUUUAUCCUUUCAGUGCUACAGACCAACAUGGUGGAACAAGGUGGCAACCUUUGUGGAAAGGGACUCAUCCCUCCUCUAAAUAUGGGUCCCAUUAAAAACAUUUAGGAGAGUUGGCUAAAAUGAAAAAAAAAAAAAAGAAACUUAAAUUUUAAGUCACAAUUAGGAGAUUAAAAGUCUCAAGUGAGAUGAAGAGUCUAAAAUAUAGAUAAAAAAAAUCCUGAUUUUGAAAUAGUCAUUGUUGUCAGAUAGUAGAUAAUGUGUGGCAAGUGUUUUUUUCUAUGCUGCAGUCUGCUGGGGAGGAAGCAUCAAACACAAAAAUGCAAGAUGUCUCAACAAACUGGUAAAAAAAGGC